AAAGGGAGACCUAAUUCCGGUAGGAGACGAAAAAAAAGUAGUCCCAACCAAGAAUCAAUCCCAAAAGGUCGGAGCGAGGCGAAAUUGGCUUUCAAACUAGGUUCUGGGUUCACACAAGACCUGAAUCAGGAAUAAGGGCUAUUAGCUCAGGUGGUUAGAGCGCACCCCUGAUAAGGGUGAGGUCCCUGGUUCGAGUCCAGGAUGGCCCACCUGCACAGGUGGCAAAAACAAAGAAAAAAAGCUCCGAAUCAGCACCUUAUCUUACUUAUACAGUAAGAGAGAAUGCUGGCUCUGAGUUCAGAGUCCAGAGGAACCUUGAAAACUGCAUAGAGCUAGGUGAAAAAGCCAAAAAAGAAGACCGCAAG
rnacentral:tRNA from 1 species